GAGGCAUCUGCAUGGGCUUCUUGUACUGGAUUCUCUGAUCAGGGUAGAGAAGAGGCAAGGCUUGCAUCCACUUCAGGGUCCCUACUGAGGAGAGUGAGCGGUCCGAGCUGAAUAUGGUGUUUAACCUAAGUUUAGUAUUUAAUGAAUUCUAGAAGCCUGGCUGUGGGUGGUGAUUUGGUCAGCAUAUCUUAGGUAUAUAAUAACUUUGAAGCCAUAACUUUUUAACUGGAGUGGUUUAUUUUAAUUCAGUUUAUUUUAUUUUAUUUUGGGGGGAGGGUCAGGAUUUUAACUUUAAUAUUGUUAAGUUUUGUAAAAGGAGAACCAUCUCUGUGACAAUUACCUCUUAGUCUGUUUGUUUUUAAAGAAAUCCCUAAAACAAACAAAACACAAAAAUUCUCCAGACUCAAACGCACAUAGUUCAGUCACUGGAAACGCUUGUCUUUGCACCUGAGCCUGAUCCCGCUGAGCAGUGAGGGCUGCUUUUCCCCAUGGGGGCUUGCUGUCUCGUACUCCCUGCACCCUCGGCCCCAUCCCGUGAGCACCUCGGCCCUCUGCACAUUGCCCGGCUGGUUGGACCCUUUCCAGAUACUUGCUCAGCAAAUGUGGGCUGCGAGCCUGCUGAGCGCUGGCCCGGGAGGAUCUCCUCAGGGUGGGGCAGGCUUGGGCGCUGCUCUGCUCCUCUACCACUGGAGGGAAUGGAAUCAUGCGAUGGGCGAGCACCUGCUGUGGAGACCAGAAGUGCUCAUGGCUGGUCCUGAGAGCCUUGAUGAGCUAGGAUCACUGUUCUUAAAGACCACUGAAACUGGAAGGGGGACCUGUAUCCCCUUGGGAAGAGAAGCCCCUGGCAAGCAGUGGGUCCUGGAGACUGGGUUCAUUGUGAGCCUUUCCUGCCAGGGGAGGCAUGAGUCUUUGCAGGGAAACUGUCUCCUCCAGCUUCUCCUGCCUUGGUCUCCCCAUAUUCUUAGCCUUUCUAUUUAUUUCCUGGUGUAUAACUUUCCUUGCUUUAAAGGGAUCUUCCUUUAAUUCCUUGGGCCAAUUUACUGGCCAUUGAACAGUGUCCCUUGAGUCCCAACUGUGUCUCUGGGGAACCUCCUUACCCACCCCUGCUGACCUCCCACUUCCCACCCUGCAGCUGAGUAUCCGUGAUUACAGGCGAUUGAACUGUAGAGUCCUCUCUGCCUCUGUACCUGCCAGCAGCAGCCUCACAGUGACCCCCACGCCACUGGACAACUCCCAGGAGACCUGUGCGCUCCGUGCAGCUCAGCUCAGCCGCCUCUCAGGAAGCCUGGAGCAGGUCUGGGGGACCCCCCCCCCAUCACUCUUUACAUUAAGCUGAGAGUUGGGAGAAGCUGUGCUUUGGCUCCCUGAGGCCACCCUGAUCCACGGGGCACCCGCACCUCUGCGUUCUGGAUUCACAGACCAAGUCUAAAGCCCGUUCGUUCCUGAGUUGCCGUCAAGGCCCCUGAACGGUACUCUCGGUACUUCUGUUUGUUUUUUGUACAAUUUAUUAGAAAGGACUGUAAAAUAGCCACUUAGACACUUUACCUCUCCAGUAUGCAAAUGUAAAUAUAUUGUAAUAUAGGAAAUUUUUGUUUUAAUAUAAGAAUGAGCCUGUCCAGUUUCUGCUGUACAUUAUUAAAGUUUUAUUCAC
rnacentral:lncRNA from 1 species